rnacentral:rRNA from 1 species
GGGGGGGUGCUAUACAUGCAAGUCGAGCGAACAGACGAGGAGCUUGCUCCUCUGACGUUAGCGGCGGACGGGUGAGUAACACGUGGAUAACCUACCUAUAAGACUGGGAUAACUUCGGGAAACCGGAGCUAAUACCGGAUAAUAUAUUGAACCGCAUGGUUCAAUAGUGAAAGACGGUUUUGCUGUCACUUAUAGAUGGAUCCGCGCCGCAUUAGCUAGUUGGUAAGGUAACGGCUUACCAAGGCAACGAUGCGUAGCCGACCUGAGAGGGUGAUCGGCCACACUGGAACUGAGACACGGUCCAGACUCCUACGGGAGGCAGCAGUAGGGAAUCUUCCGCAAUGGGCGAAAGCCUGACGGAGCAACGCCGCGUGAGUGAUGAAGGUCUUCGGAUCGUAAAACUCUGUUAUUAGGGAAGAACAAAUGUGUAAGUAACUAUGCACGUCUUGACGGUACCUAAUCAGAAAGCCACGGCUAACUACGUGCCAGCAGCCGCGGUAAUACGUAGGUGGCAAGCGUUAUCCGGAAUUAUUGGGCGUAAAGCGCGCGUAGGCGGUUUUUUAAGUCUGAUGUGAAAGCCCACGGCUCAACCGUGGAGGGUCAUUGGAAACUGGAAAACUUGAGUGCAGAAGAGGAAAGUGGAAUUCCAUGUGUAGCGGUGAAAUGCGCAGAGAUAUGGAGGAACACCAGUGGCGAAGGCGACUUUCUGGUCUGUAACUGACGCUGAUGUGCGAAAGCGUGGGGAUCAAACAGGAUUAGAUACCCUGGUAGUCCACGCCGUAAACGAUGAGUGCUAAGUGUUAGGGGGUUUCCGCCCCUUAGUGCUGCAGCUAACGCAUUAAGCACUCCGCCUGGGGAGUACGACCGCAAGGUUGAAACUCAAAGGAAUUGACGGGGACCCGCACAAGCGGUGGAGCAUGUGGUUUAAUUCGAAGCAACGCGAAGAACCUUACCAAAUCUUGACAUCCUCUGACCCUCUAGAGAUAGAGUUUUCCCCUUCGGGGGACAGAGUGACAGGUGGUGCAUGGUUGUCGUCAGCUCGUGUCGUGAGAUGUUGGGUUAAGUCCCGCAACGAGCGCACCCUUAAGCUUAGUUGCCAUCAUUAAGUUGGGCCUCUAAGUUGACUGCCGUGACAACCGAGGAAGGUGGGGAUGANNUCAAUCUCCUGGCCCUUUGNNUUGGGCNACCCCGNGCUCAAUGGAAANNCAAGGGNNGNAACCC